GCUCAGGAUGAACGCUGGCGGCGUGCUUAACACAUGCAAGUCGAACGAACCUUCGGGUUAGUGGCGGACGGGUGAGUAACGCGUGGGAACCUGCCCUCAGGAGGGGGAUAACGGUUGGAAACGGCCGCUAAUACCCCAUAUGCCGAGAGGUGAAAUGAAUUUCGCCUGAGGAUGGGCCCGCGUCUGAUUAGCUAGUUGGUGGGGUAAAGGCCUACCAAGGCGACGAUCAGUAGCUGGUCUGAGAGGAUGAUCAGCCACACUGGGACUGAGACACGGCCCAGACUCCUACGGGAGGCAGCAGUGGGGAAUUUUCCGCAAUGGGCGAAAGCCUGACGGAGCAACGCCGCGUGAGGGAUGAAGGCCUCUGGGCUGUAAACCUCUUUUCUCAAGGAAGAAGAUCUGACGGUACUUGAGGAAUAAGCCACGGCUAAUUCCGUGCCAGCAGCCGCGUUAAUACGGGAGUGGCAAGCGUUAUCCGGAAUUAUUGGGCGUAAAGCGUCCGCAGGCGGCCGUACAAGUCUGUCGUUAAAGCGUGGAGCUUAACUCCAUUUCAGCGAUGGAAACUGUAUGGCUUGAGUGUGGUAGGGGCAGAGGGAAUUCCCGGUGUAGCGGUGAAAUGCGUAGAUAUCGGGAAGAACACCAGUGGCGAAGGCGCUCUGCUGGGCCAUAACUGACGCUCAUGGACGAAAGCCAGGGGAGCGAAAGGGAUUAGAUACCCCUGUAGUCCUGGCCGUAAACGAUGAACACUAGGUGUCGGGGGAAUCGACCCCCUCGGUGUCGUAGCCAACGCGUUAAGUGUUCCGCCUGGGGAGUACGCACGCAAGUGUGAAACUCAAAGGAAUUGACGGGGGCCCGCACAAGCGGUGGAGUAUGUGGUUUAAUUCGAUGCAACGCGAAGAACCUUACUUGGUCUUGACAUCCUAGGAAUCCUGCAGAGAUGCGGGAGUGCCUUCGGGAACCUGGAGACAGGUGCUGCAUGGCUGUCGUCAGCUCGUGUCGUGAGAUGUUGGGUUAAGUCCCGCAACAAGCGCAACCCUUGCCCUUAGUUGCCAUCAUUAAGUUGGGAACUCUAAGGGGACCGCCGGUGACAAACCGGAGGAAGGUGGGGAUGACGUCAAGUCAUCAGGGCCCUUAUGACCAGGGCUACACACGUGCUACAAUGGUCGGUACAGUGGGUCGCCAACCCGCGAGGGGGAGCCAAUCCCUUAAAACCGAUCGUAGUCCGGAUUGCAGUCUGCAACUCGACUGCAUGAAGUCGGAAUCGCUAGUAAUCGCGAAUCAGCCAUGUCGCGGUGAAUACGUUCCCGGGUCUUGUACACACCGCCCGUCACACCAUGGAAGUUGACUGCACCAGAAGUAGGUAGCCUAACCGCAAGGAGGGCGCUUACCACGGUGUGCUCAAUGGCUGGGGUGAAGUCGUAACAAGGUA
rnacentral:rRNA from 1 species